AUUUUUCUAAUAGUGUGUUUUAUUUUGAUUCAUGAUUAAAAUAAAAAUAAAAAAUUAAAUCAAAUUGCAUUGAAAAGUAAAAUAAAAAUGACGAAUUAUUCAAAAAUAUUUAAUUUAUUAUUAAAAUAGAAAUUAAAAUAGUUAUCUGGGUUUUUGAGUGAGUGUUUUGGUUAAAAGAGAGGAGGGUGAUGAAGGGAGCAAAGGGGGUGGUGUUGUUUACUUUGAAAUUGGUCUAUUUUAGACUGGAAUGAAAAUCGAAAUUUGAUUUUUUGUAAAACAAACGACAACUAUCGAAAUCAAUGAAUCCCUUUCAAUUCUAUUUUCCAAAAUUUGUGAAUCAAAUAAGCCCUGAAUUUCCAUUGGUCUUAAACAAAAAACAAGUAAAAACCUUUAGACUAAAAUCAAAAUUUUUAAAUUUAAAUACUCGUUUCAAAAUACAUUACUAAUUUUUAAAUUUGUUUGGUCCGAAACAUAAUAAUGUGAUGGCAUUGUCACAAUCCAUAUUUUUUUUUUUCGAACUAGUUCUCUUGUCACUCUUUCCUCUUGGUAGAUGUGAUGUGUUUAUAAAUUUAACGGUGUAAAAUACUUUAAAUUUGAUAAAUUUUUUAUAGAAAUUUUUUUUCACUAUUUAGAGUAAGAUAAGUAUCUCUGAUUUUAAAUUCAAGGCUUUUAUCAUCAUUUUCUAUAGGAUUUUUAUUUUCAGCUGUCAUUUUUAAACUACUCGUUUGAUAGGUAAAUGAUGCCGAAAAUUUAUGAAGUUUAGUUUUCAAAUAUUUUUAAUAGUGUAGAUCAAGUUUAAAGAAGCUGAUCGUCGAUUUGGAAGCCGCAUUAUUGAAAACAAUUUGGUAGCACGGAGGCCCCCCUAAUUCAUCAAUUAGGAAAAAUCGUCUGAAAGCGAAAUUUUAUUUAAAUAAAAUAAAACGAUAAAGAAAUAUAAAAAAGUUCUCAAAAGAUAAUCAGAUAGUAUAUUUUUUUCUUUUAAAUUCUCAAAAGGUGGCCAAUGGACUUUGAGAGGGAUGAAUUUUUUUUUCUUCUAAUUUUCUUUUAAAUUCUAAAAUCCUUGUCAUAUCCACCAUAUGUAAACAAAUUAGUCGAUAUGUCGUUUUCAACACACACACACACACACACACACACAGAUAUAUAUAGAGUGAAGUGAGGCUACCAUGCUUCUAGAAGCAUAGAGCCUUUCAUGCUUCCAGCUUAUUUUUGAUGUUGCGAUUUUUGAAUCGUCGAUCGGCUUCGUUAAACUUGAUCUAGAGUAUUUGAAAUACCUAGAAAAUAAAUUUUGUAAUUUUUCGAUAUCAUUUGUCUAGUGAACUAAGAGGCUCAAAAUCAACGGCUGAAAAUAAAAAUUUUACAAAACGUAAUAAUAUGACAUUAAAAUUUUAGAUCAAAGAUAUUGAUCUUAUUUUAUAUAGCAUAAAUAAUUGUCUAUCAAAAUUUCACGUGAUUUGGAUAUUUCUACACCGUUAAACUUGCAAACAGCUCACCACAGCCGUUAAAAUUAUUGAUUUUGAGUCCCUUCGAUCACUAGGCAAAUAAUAUCAAAAAAUCAUAAAAUUUAUUUUCUAAGUACUUCAAAUACUCUAGAUCAAGUUUAACGG
rnacentral:lncRNA from 1 species